rnacentral:tRNA from 1 species
UGGAGAGUAGUCGAAUGGUAAGACGUCACGCUCUGGACGUGAAAAUUCCAGGUUCGAAUCCUGGCUCUCCAA